rnacentral:lncRNA from 1 species
GCUCUGACUUCCCUGAAUGAUGAUGCACUAUGACCAGGACAGGAAAUCUACAAUAGGACUUUUUCUUUCCUGGUUCCAGAGAAUGGCUGAGAAGACCUUUCAGCAGUUUCAAAUGCAAGAACCAGAUAUCACCCGUUGUUAUUGAGAGUAAAUCAAUACCGUGCCUGUCACAGCUUCUUCCCCGCCCUCCUCCUUUUGGAUGCAACGGCUGUUCUCUCUCAGUUUGUGGGGAGUUACUCCAGAGCCUCCUCCUCCAGGGUACCAAAUCUCGGGCUGGCUUGGUUCCUUACAUAGAAUGUCAUGGCAUUGCCCAGGACCUUGGGAUAGCCUCCAGAUACUUCAAAUCAUCUCUCCAUUGCG